UUCUGGUGAUGUUGGGUGAGAGGUUAUUGACCCCAGGAACAAUUAGUCAUGGAUCCCGUGCCAAGCACAUCCACAGGCAUUACCCUCCAUUGGUUCCACCAGGCAGGGGGCACCGCCAACUCCAUGGCAUUACUCCUCAGCAGACAAAGAUUCUGAAAGUGAUGAUCUUCUAGUGUCAAGGAGGCUGUUGGAAGAACAGCCAAGGUGGCAUCAGGAAGAUGACUUUGUCUAGUCAGUAAUGGACACCUCCCUUGAUGAAGGCAAGCCACUCAGUAGAUGCGCAGCUUGCAUCACCACUUCAUCACAAAACACCCCUGGUUACUCAAGGAAAAGGAGGGAAAACAUUUCGAGGAGGCAUGGCUUUAUCCAACAUCCUCAGAUAAGCCUGGACGAGGACUUGCCCCAGCACAAUUUCAUUACAGCAUUUUUCACUGACAACAUCCUUAACGAAAUAAUCUGGCAGACCAACCAAUAUGCCAUCGCCCACCCACACCAGGAUGGUGCCCAUAAGAGGAAAUGGGUACCUGUAACUGCAGGUAAGCAUUCAUUUAUUCAUUAAAGUUUGAUUGUUUUUAGCAGGUAUAAUGUAAAAUAACAAGUUUUUGCAGCCUCAACAAUCCCUAUAAAUACAUGCAUUAAUCUUUUAGGUGUUCUUGGGUCUGUACUACUUGAUGAGCGUGUUUGUCCCAAGCCUCAGUAAACAAUGUACUAGUCUGUGAGAGUUCAUCUACACCCUAUUCUACAAGAAGACAAUGCCGAGAGAUCGGUAUGACCAGAUCUCAUAGGUAUUGCAUUUUGUAGAUAAUUUACCAGACCGGAACAAAGAAGACCACUUGUGGAAGCUUUGUCCUGUCACAAAUCAUCUACAGGAGAGAUUUGUCAUAGUCUUCAUCUCACUGCAGAAGAUUACCAUAGAGAGCUUAUGGAAAUUUAGAGGCUGACUCAGAUUUGUCCAGUAUAACCCAACCAAAAAGGCAAGGUAUGGCCUCAAGGUCUAUAAGCUCUGCGUUUCUGUCAGAGCUUCUGCACCAGUGUGUUAUCUGACUUUACCCAAUGGCCAAAUAGCAAUGUAGAGAAAGGGCUCCUGGUGACAGCCACUUUGAAUAUCUAUUGUAGCACUCAUAGCAUAGCUUGUUUUGUAAUAGUACAAUGUAUUCACUUUUCUUUUUCUUAAGAGUAAUUUCUUGAGAGUGACAAAGUAUUUUCUUUGAAAGAUAAAUCUUUUAAAUAGUUCUAGUAAAAUAGUUAGGAUUUAAGAUCCUAAUAUUUCAAGUUUAAUAGAGAAGAUCCAAUCUUUACUUUUUCUUGAAAAGAGAAACGGUGGAAGGGUAAAAAAAACAAAAAAAAAUUGUUUUCAAUUUAUAUUGUUUCAAAACACUGUAACUAUGGGAAGUCACAGAUAUAUAAGUAUUAUCACAAAUAACUUGUUCAACUAAUUUUAACUUUAACUUUUUUUUAAGCUAAAACUAGGGUAUUUCAUUCUUGCCUAAAGUACACUGGGAUGUCUUAUUUCAUACGAUAGUGUCAUUAAUAAAAUCUAAUUGCCAGCAUUUAUAUGGUGGAAUAGCAUUAAGUAUUGACUGUGAUCCAAUAUAAUAUCAGUAUAUCUAAUGAUAAGUUAUAGUACACACUUAGGUUCUUUUUUUUUUUCCUCUUUUUUUUUUUUUUUCCUUUUUUAUUCACUCAACAAUAAUGCACAAGUAAAGCUAUAUACUGGAAGCAGAUUUUAAAAAAUAAAUCUACUUUCACUUUACAAAUCAGUACAGAUUAUGUUCCUCCUCCAGUAAUUGCACAUCUGUCUCUCAUACCCAAAAACGACUAUUACUCAUUACACUGCUUAACAGACAAUUAAAAAAAUAAAAAUAAAAUCAUGAAAAUUAACAAACAUACAAAUCCCUUCCUCUCAAAGAUAGCAUUCUCUAUGAGACC